rnacentral:lncRNA from 1 species
AAAGAAAGAAAGAAAGAAAGAAAGAAAGAAAGAAAGAAAGAAAGAAAGAAAGAAAGAAAGAAAAAGAAUGGCACAUUACUGUCAGUGAUCUUAUCGGCCAAACUGUCUCUGUCUUUUCUCAUUGAUUAACACAUGUAGAAGUUUGCUUCUUGACAAACAGAUGGAUAAGAAAGUGACUACAUGUAUUAUUUCUAUGUGGGCUAGAGACCUCCUGUGUUUUUAAAUUAAGAUUAGUAAUCCAACCAUCCAUGAGCCUAGGAGCAAGGUAAAACCCAGGAAAUUUUAAUGUUUGGUAAUUCUGUUUACAUGUUUUCCCAUCAGGUACAACUUCAGGAUACCUUUACUCCAUCUGUAUAAUACUUCUGUUUUAUUCCAAAGUGGUCCAAAUUUAGGCACUGGGAGUUUCCUUUGGUGUUCCAUCUAUUGUGAAGAAGACAAGAACAGAGGAUUUGAUUCCAUAUUUGGAGGGCUAUAUGUAAAACUGGGACUCAGGUCAAGUACAUGAACCAGGCUGAUAUGGCUUUUAACAGCAAACCCAGGACUUUUUGUAGCUCCCACCAGCAAAUGUUCGCAGACACAAUUCCUUGCUCUUUUUCUACUUUUUUUCAUAGACUCAGACUGCCCAACCUCAUUCUCUUGACCUCCCACACUGAACUGUUGCAGGUGUUAUUCUUUCAAACUGAAUUAUGGCUUGUCUUGCUAUUCCUCUACUAUUGUUUUGCUUCAGGGAACUUACAACAAAAGUUUACUUAUGGUCUGGUGAUUUUUUUAAGUUCCAUUGUUGCUGUUACAGUAAAUGAUUUUUUUUUUGUUGGCACCGUUUCAUUAAAAACAUUGCUCGUGAUAAGAGGCGUAAAAGCCUUCCUUAAGAGCACUCAGACUUAAAUUACACAACAGCACUUUCAAACUGCCUCCCAAAUACUCUGCAUGUCUACUCAGAAAUAAGCAGUGCCAACGUGUCUGCACAGAAGUAACUGGAGCAAGCCUUCACAUGUCUACUCAGAAGCAAGCAGGGCAAACCUUACUGUGAGAAUGGCUAGACUGUAACUCCCAGCAUUAUUCACCACAACAUUUCUCAGGCCAUAUGGCCUUACUGUCUUGGUCUGGCACUGACGUCAUCUCUGAGGCUCUCCUUCAACUGGAGAAGCUGCAAAGUAUGCCAUCUUGGAAUAUAAGCAAGGCUGGGCCUGACAUGUACUUAAACGGAAUCCAACCAGAGAAUACCAGGGACUGUAGCUCAAUGAGAUGGUUGGAGAGUGUCAUCGAAGCAACCAACAUGAACUUGACCCAACUCCAGGAGGCAGUGGAAGAUAGGAGGGCCUGGCAUGCUCUGGUCCACUGGUUCUUAACCUUGGGUUACUCAGGAGUUUUGGACUGCACCUCCCAGAAGCCUUCACCACCAACUGUGCUGGCUGGGGUUUCUGGGAGUUGCAGUUCAAAAACAUCCAAGUAACAAAGGUUAAGAACCACUGCUCUGGUCCAUGGGGUCACAAAGAGUCGGACACAUCUAAACGACUAAAUGACGACGACGUAGCUCAAUAGUAUAGUACAUAUACUACACUCCAAAUAAUGAAUAAUAAUUGUGUGUUGUCAAGUUAAUUCUGUCUUAUGGUGAAACUUUCUAGGGUUUUCUAGGUAGAGAGUACUCAGAAGAGGCUUACCAUUCCCUUCUUCUGGGGGCAUCCUGUGACUGUGCAGUUUGCCUAAGGAUACAUAGGCUGGCCCUUCUUCGAGAAGGCACAAUGUUUCCCAGCUUGGGGGUUGUGACACUCAAGGGGGUUGCAAGGGGUCUUCUGGGGGGUUGCAGGUCACUUUAUAUUUGUUGUAGCCCUUGUUAAAUAAUUUCUUCCUUGACCUUUUGGAGCAGGAUAUUAAAGUGAGUGUGUAUGUUUAUGUAUGUAUAUAUACAGUAUAUGAGAAACAGCCCCAUUAAAAAUGCCUUUUUAUGCAAACGUAGUGGUGGAGUUGCAAUUAUUUGGCUAUUAUAAAAGGGGGUCAUUACUCAAAAAAGGUUGGCAGCUACUGAUCUAAAGCAAAGAAGAUGGCACGGGUCUGCACCAUGCAUUAAAUUCCUGAGCUUUUUAGAAAGUUUUUUAUGCAAUGCAAAGGUUUCCUGUGUGAGUAAAUGCGCUUUCCUGAUACUCAAGGGUAGUGGUUGCAGUACCAUAAUUGUGGUUAGGCUAAUAACCUCAAGAGUGUCUGAAGGAAGCUUCCACUUCCUCUGAUUAGAAGCCUGUCAAGUGGUUUUCACAUCAGAUGUACAAUUUGACUGACAGACCAAGGAGGCAACUGGGCUAAUCUUAUUAAAGGAAGGUUUGGGCUGGUGAAAUAAAAUGGAACUUUUCAAGGUGAGGGGAAGCGCA